rnacentral:tRNA from 1 species
AGGGUGAUAAGUUAAAUAAACUACGGGGUUCAUGUCCCCAUAAUAUACUUUUGUAUUCUUCCUA